UUCAUUGCUGCUCAUAUUGCUGCCCAAAAUCAUUUCAGCCUGAGGCCUACCAUCUAUCUUUGAGAGAGAGAUGCCUAUACUAUCUGUUGUAUGUUCUGUUCUCUCUCUGACAGCAUCUUUCAAAUAAAAUCUCGGAGCCAGUAAUUUUUGUUUCUUCUUUUCCAAAAUAAUAUCAGAGGUAACUUUCCCGGUAUAAGUUCUUAUUGCUUCU
rnacentral:lncRNA from 1 species